CAGCCGCCGCGGUAAUACGUAGGGGGCGAGCGUUGUCCGGAAUCACUGGGCGUAAAGGGCGUGUAGGCGGCCUGUUAAGUCAGGGGUGAAAGACCGGGGCUCAACCCCGGGGGUGCCUCUGAAACUGGCGGGCUUGAGUGCUCUAGAGGGCAGUGGAAUUCCCGGUGUAGCAGUGAAAUGCGUAGAGAUCGGGAGGAACACCAGUGGCGAAGGCGGCUGCCUGGGGAGUCACUGACGCUGAGGCGCGAAAGCUAGGGGAGCAAACAGGAUUAGAUACCCUGGUAGUCCUAGCCGUAAACGAUGAGCGCUAUGUGUGAGGGGUAUCGACCCCCCUCGUGCAGUAGCUAACGCAUUAAGCGCUCCGCCUGGGGAGUACGGCCGCAAGGUUGAAACUUAAAGGAAUUGGCGGG
rnacentral:rRNA from 1 species